AUUGAACGCUGGCGGCAGGCCUAACACAUGCAAGUCGAACGAGUGGCGGACGGGUGAGUAAUGUCUGGGAAACUGCCCGAUGGAGGGGGAUAACUACUGGAAACGGUAGCUAAUACCGCAUACCAUCGGAUGUGCCCAGAUGGGAUUAGCUAGUAGGUGGGGUAACGGCUCACCUAGGCGACUAUCCCUAGCUGGUCUGAGAGGCUGACCAGCUAAACUGGAACUGAGACACGGUCAAGACUCAUAAGGGAGGCAGCAGUGGGGAAGAUUGCACAAUGGGCGCAAGCCUGAUGCAGCCAUGCCGCGUGUAUGAAGAAGGCCUUCGGGUUGUAAAGUACUUUCAGCGAGGAGGCGUUACUCGCAGAAGAAGCCCCGGCUAACUCCGUGCCAGCAGCCGCGGUAAUAC
rnacentral:rRNA from 1 species